GAUGAACGCUGGCGGCGUGCCUAAUACAUGCAAGUCGAGCGAACAGAUAAGGAGCUUGCUCCUUUGACGUUAGCGGCGGACGGGUGAGUAACACGUGGGUAACCUACCUAUAAGACUGGGAUAACUUCGGGAAACCGGAGCUAAUACCGGAUAAUAUUUCGAACCGCAUGGUUCGAUAGUGAAAGAUGGUUUUGCUAUCACUUAUAGAUGGACCCGCGCCGUAUUAGCUAGUUGGUAAGGUAACGGCUUACCAAGGCGACGAUACGUAGCCGACCUGAGAGGGUGAUCGGCCACACUGGAACUGAGACACGGUCCAGACUCCUACGGGAGGCAGCAGUAGGGAAUCUUCCGCAAUGGGCGAAAGCCUGACGGAGCAACGCCGCGUGAGUGAUGAAGGUCUUCGGAUCGUAAAACUCUGUUAUUAGGGAAGAACAUACGUGUAAGUAACUGUGCACGUCUUGACGGUACCUAAUCAGAAAGCCACGGCUAACUACG
rnacentral:rRNA from 1 species